AACGAACGCUGGCGGCAUGCCUAACACAUGCAAGUCGAACGAUCCCUUCGGGGAUAGUGGCGCACGGGUGCGUAACGCGUGGGAACCUGCCCUUAGGUUCGGAAUAACUCAGAGAAAUUUGAGCUAAUACCGGAUAAUGUCUUCGGACCAAAGAUUUAUCGCCUUUGGAUGGGCCCGCGUUGGAUUAGCUAGUUGGUGGGGUAAAGGCCUACCAAGGCGACGAUCCAUAGCUGGUCUGAGAGGAUGAUCAGCCACACUGGGACUGAGACACGGCCCAGACUCCUACGGGAGGCAGCAGUGGGGAAUAUUGGACAAUGGGCGAAAGCCUGAUCCAGCAAUGCCGCGUGAGUGAUGAAGGCCUUAGGGUUGUAAAGCUCUUUUGCCCGGGAUGAUAAUGACAGUACCGGGAGAAUAAGCCCCGGCUAACUCCGUG
rnacentral:rRNA from 1 species